AACACCUGGAUACGCGCUUGGAUACGCGGAGCAUCGCUUCAAGGAGGUGCCGAGGAACGAAUCUUUGUGCCGGGAAGCAGCAGCCGAGCAGGCAAUUGUGAAGCACUCAGCAGAGAUCUGCGCGGGAGGAAAAGCAGAGCCAAUCUCUGAGAACUGACGUGCAAGCUCUGGUGAGGACGGCUGCUCCCCCUGGCCUUGGUGUGGGACCUCCUGAGCUACCAUUCCUGAGGCGGGAGUGUUUCUCCUCUCAUCCAGCCAAGCCAGAGACCUCCUAGGGAACGAGCAGGGUAAACCCAAAAGCUGUUGUGAUCAAAAACG